GGGGGGGGGAGCUAUACAUGCAGUCGAGCGGACAGAUGGGAGCUUGCUCCCUGAUGUUAGCGGCGGACGGGUGAGUAACACGUGGGUAACCUGCCUGUAAGACUGGGAUAACUCCGGGAAACCGGGGCUAAUACCGGAUGGUUGUUUGAACCGCAUGGUUCAGACAUAAAAGGUGGCUUCGGCUACCACUUACAGAUGGACCCGCGGCGCAUUAGCUAGUUGGUGAGGUAACGGCUCACCAAGGCAACGAUGCGUAGCCGACCUGAGAGGGUGAUCGGCCACACUGGGACUGAGACACGGCCCAGACUCCUACGGGAGGCAGCAGUAGGGAAUCUUCCGCAAUGGACGAAAGUCUGACGGAGCAACGCCGCGUGAGUGAUGAAGGUUUUCGGAUCGUAAAGCUCUGUUGUUAGGGAAGAACAAGUGCCGUUCAAAUAGGGCGGCACCUUGACGGUACCUAACCAGAAAGCCACGGCUAACUACGUGCCAGCAGCCGCGGUAAUACGUAGGUGGCAAGCGUUGUCCGGAAUUAUUGGGCGUAAAGGGCUCGCAGGCGGUUUCUUAAGUCUGAUGUGAAAGCCCCCGGCUCAACCGGGGAGGGUCAUUGGAAACUGGGGAACUUGAGUGCAGAAGAGGAGAGUGGAAUUCCACGUGUAGCGGUGAAAUGCGUAGAGAUGUGGAGGAACACCAGUGGCGAAGGCGACUCUCUGGUCUGUAACUGACGCUGAGGAGCGAAAGCGUGGGGAGCGAACAGGAUUAGAUACCCUGGUAGUCCACGCCGUAAACGAUGAGUGCUAAGUGUUAGGGGGUUUCCGCCCCUUAGUGCUGCAGCUAACGCAUUAAGCACUCCGCCUGGGGAGUACGGUCGCAAGACUGAAACUCAAAGGAAUUGACGGGGGCCCGCACAAGCGGUGGAGCAUGUGGUUUAAUUCGAAGCAACGCGAAGAACCUUACCAGGUCUUGACAUCCUCUGACAAUCCUAGAGAUAGGACGUCCCCUUCGGGGGCAGAGUGACAGGUGGUGCAUGGGUUGUCGUCAGCUCGUGUCGUGAGAUG
rnacentral:rRNA from 1 species